ensembl:lncRNA
UUCUUGCUCAAAAACAUCCUUAAGUAGAUACUCUCUUCGUGCCUGCCAGUGGAUUAUUUCCCUUGAAUCAGAAGGGGAAACUACAAUAAUAUCAAGUGGAUCUGAUAAGUGAAAAAGGACAAGGUUAUAUUUGGGAUCAGUUGGAUGUCCCAUUGGACUAUCUUACAAGCAAUUAUAAACAUGGAACAAGUGAGUAACCAAAAGGCCAGGAAAAAAUUGAUGGUUGACGGCUGCACACCACCUGUAAAUCUGGAUUCCACAGCCUGACAUUCAAGGUCGCUGCCACCCAGCCCCAUCCUACCUAUUCACACUCAUCUCCGGUGGCCCCACAGUCUGGGCCCUCCUCUGGCCCAAUCAGUCAGCAAACUGUGCUUUUCUUUAUUUUUUCUCCUUGGAGUUUGUAUCAAUUAUUGCUAUUCUCUAUGCCUGGGACGCACUCCCUAAAUCUCUAAUUAUUAGCAUGUCUUUGUGUGUUAGGGCCAGUGCAGGUCCUUUCCAUUUGAAGAUGUUUUUCAAAAGCUCCAGUGCAUACUCUUCUCUUCUGAAGUACUGGAGCAUUUACAGCUUGUGCUAUUUGUAAAGCACUCAGUCAUAUACGUGUCCAUGUUCUUGUUUAAUCAGGUCAAACAUGAAUACCUACCUGGUUUUGUCAGUGAAAAUAUACAUGCCUUGAGGGUAAGGAUCAAUGUUCUUGCAUCAGUUAAGAAUUAUAUUUCACUACUGAAAACAGAAACUCCCAGAGUGGCUGUAAAACACUGAGAGUCAAAGUCACUCAGUCGUGACCGACUCUUUGUGACCCCAUGGCCUAUACAAGUCCAUGGAAUUCUCCAGGCCAGAAUACUGGAGUGGGUAGUCUUUCCCUUCUCCAGGGAAUCUUCCCAACCCAGGGAUCGAACCCAGGUCUCCUGCAUCGCAGGGGGAUUCUUUACCAGCUGAGCAGGAGUUUGAUUUUCCUCAUAUAUGAGAAGUAUGGAGGCAAGUAAUCCAAAGCUGGUUUGGCAAAUCUUGAUGAGAGCAAAGACCUAGCCUCCCUCAACCUUUCCACUUCUCCAUCCAUAGCAUGGACUUGUCACUUCAGAAUCACAAGUUGGCUGAUCCUCAGCAAGUGUAGAGUCAGUGCUGCCAGCAGGGAGAAGCCGGAAGGCAAUGGGCAAGCAUGCUUGCCCGCCUCAUCAGCCCUACUUUUAGCCUGCUCCUCUGGAAGCUCCAAGCCCACAAGUUCUACUACUUUGUUGGUCAACAGUUAGAUAUAUAGCCACUCUUCUUUGCAAGCAAUGCUGCAAAUGUAUUUUUUUAAAGUUGGACAUAUUAGCAUCCCCACCAAAAUUUGGGUUAUUUUUGUGAAGAGAAGAGGUGCUGACAACUCAUAGGCAAUCAGUUUUUUGUGCUUUGUGUCUAUUUCUCUCUUUCUCUCUCAUUGUGUACGUGUGUGUGUGUGUAUGUGUGUGUGCGUUCUUGUUCAGACACCCACACACACAUAUGUGGAGAGAGACAGACAGAUGAUUCUAUGUAUCUAGAUACUUAUCUCUUUAUAUUUCAAUAAUCA